rnacentral:rRNA from 1 species
GGACUACGGGGGUAUCUAAUCCGGUUUGCUCCCCCAGCUUUCGUCCCUCACUGUCGGAGCCGUUCUAGUGAGACGCCUUCGCCACAGGUGGUCCCCCAAGGAUUACAGGAUUUCACUCCUACCCCUGGAGUACCUCUCACCUCUCCCGGUCCCUAGAUUGCCAGUUUCUCCUGAACGCCCAUCGGUUGAGCCGGUGGAUUUCCCAAGAGACUUAACAAUCCAGCUACGGACGCUUUAAGCCCAGUAAUAGUGGCCACCACUCGAGCCGCCGGUAUUACCGCGGCGGCUGGCACCGGUCUUGCCCGGCCCUUUCUUCACCAGUUAUUUACACUGGCGGACAGCCCGAAUUUACGGGCACUCGGGGUUCCCUUAUCACGAUUUCUCGCAUUGUAAAGUUUUCGCGCCUGCUGCCCCCCAUAGG